GAAACUAACCAGGAUUCCCCUAGUAAGGGCGACUGAAGCGGGAAGAGCUCAAGAUGUUAAUCUGCGCUAUAAACGCGCCGAAUUGUGAUCUAAAGACGGUGGCACUACUUGCCGGGCUAAGUGCCUUUGAACGGGCCAGCUGAGAGGGUGAAACUCCCGUAUGCCUGGCAGGGCGAGCAACCAGUCUACGAGUCGAGUUGUUUGGGAUUGCAGCUCAAAGUGGGUGGUAAAUUCCAUCUAAAGCUAAAUACUGGUGGGAGACCGAUAGCGUACAAGUACCGUGAGGGAAAGAUGCAAAGAACUUUGAAAAGAGAGUUAAAGAGUACCUGAAAUUGCUGAAAGGGAAGCGAAGGAAACCAGUGCCAGCGUUGGUAUUUUUCCCAGGCCGCUUGCGGUUUGGGCACUGUGCCGCGCGCCUGCUACGUUUGGUUUGAUUGUACGGAAGAGCGCGGGUAGAGUUGAUGCCCUGCUGCUGGCGUGCAGUUGGAUUGAGUGGAGCAAAAUGGUUUUCUUUACCCCGUCUUGAAACACGGACCAAGGAGUCUAACAUAUGUGCGAGUACAGGGGUGGCAAACCUCCGUGCGAAAUGAAAGUAACAGUGGUUGGACAGUUUUAACUGGCACAAUCCGCCGGCCUCAAUCCCUCGGGAGAACGGUCUGAGUGUGAGCACACAUGUUGGGACCCGAAAGAUGGUGAACUAUGCCUGAAUAGGGUGAAGCCAGGGGAAACUCUGGUGGAAGCUCGUAGCGAUUCUGACGUGCAAAUCGAUCGUCAAAUUUGGGUAUAGGGGCGAAAGA
rnacentral:rRNA from 1 species